GGGAAGCUGGCUCAGUGGUAGAGCACUUGCCUUGAAUGCCUGAGGCCCUAGGUUCGAUUCCUCAGCACCACA
rfam:Dipodomys ordii contig_18219, whole genome shotgun sequence.